rnacentral:rRNA from 1 species
UACGAAGGGGGCUAGCGUUGUUCGGAAUCACUGGGCGUAAAGCGCGCGUAGGCGGAUUUGUAAGUCAGAGGUGAAAGCCCAGGGCCUAACCCUGGAACUGCCUUUGAAACUACAAAUCUAGAGACUCGGAGGGGAUAGUGGAAUUCCUAAUGUAGGGGUGAAAUCCGUAGAUAUUAGGAGGAACACCAGUGGCGAAGGCGGCUAUCUGGACGAGUACUGACGCUGAGGUGCGAAAGCGUGGGGAGCAAACAGG